rnacentral:lncRNA from 1 species
ACCUCUGACGAGCCCUAUGUCUCCCUUACCAAUUCUUUGACAAUGACCCUGCAGCUCCAGACUAGACUAAAAAGAGAGGGGACACAAGGGAACUUGAAAGAUGGAAGAAAAAGGUGGGUUCAGAGGUAAAAGUGCUAUUUCAAUUUAUAUUUCCAAAUAUGGAGGCUAAUUCUUGCUUUGAGUGGGGCAGAAUGAGUGCUUCAGAAUGUGAUUUCCUACUAACCUGUUCCUUGGAUAGGAUGCCUAUGCUUUAGAGGACUGAAACAGGAGGAACUUGACUUAAAUUAUUAAGAGAAUUAUAUUGGUUUAAAAUAAGGAGAAGGAAAACUAAUUUUCUUUUAAAUGUACACCAUGGGACAUUGGGAGGCUGAGGUGGACGGAUCACAAGACCAGGAGAUCGAGACCAUCCUGGCCAACAUGGUGAAACCCCAUCUCUACUAAAAAUACAAAAAAUUAGCUGGGUGUGGUGGCGCAUGCCUGUAGUCCCAGCUACUCAGGCUGAGGCAGGAGAAUCGCUUGAACCCAGGAGGUGGAGGUUGCAGUGAGUUGAGAUCGUGCUACUGCACUCCAGCCUGGUGACA